GCAGUGAGGAAUAUUGGUCAAUAGCCUAACGGGCUGAACCAGCAACUUGGAAGAAUGUAUAGUUUAAUCUAGUUGCAUUAAAGAUUCUUUAAUGCAACAUCGACAGUGUUGAAUAAAGUUCUGGGUAGAAGAAUGAUAAUGACAAUUUUCUAUUCAUAUGUCUUGACCAAUCCACGUGCCAGCAGUCGCGGUAAUACGUGAAAGACUAGUGUUAUUCAUCUUUAUUAGGUUUAAAGGGUACCUAGACGGAAAAUUGCGCCGUAAAAGGGACGAAUUUUCUAGAGUUUUAUGUGAGGGGGUAGUAUUUUUGGAGUAGAGAUGAAAUGUUAUGAUACCAAAAAGACUGGUGUAGGCAAAAGCAACCUUCUAUGUAAAAACUGACGUUGAGGGACGAAGGCCCGGGUAACGAAUAGGAUUAGAUACCCUAGUAGUCCAGGCAGACAAUUCUGAAUGUCAUACACUAGAGUUUACUUUAGUGUAUAAAUGAAAGUGUAAGCAUUCCACCUCAAGAGUAACGUGGCAACGCAGGAACUGAAAUCAUUAGACCGUUUCUGAAACCAGUAGUGAAGUAUGU
rnacentral:rRNA from 1 species